rnacentral:rRNA from 1 species
GAAACAUCUUAGUACCCGGAGGAAGAGAAAGAAAAUUCGAUUCCCUUAGUAGCGGCGAGCGAAACGGGAAGAGCCCAAACCAACAAGCUUGCUUGUUGGGGUUGUAGGACACUCUAUACGGAGUUACAAAGGACGACAUUAGACGAAUCAUCUGGAAAGAUGAAUCAAAGAAGGUAAUAAUCCUGUAGUCGAAAAUGUUGUCUCUCUUGAGUGGAUCCUGAGUACGACGGAGCACGUGAAAUUCCGUCGGAAUCUGGGAGGACCAUCUCCUAAGGCUAAAUACUCUCUAGUGACCGAUAGUGAACCAGUACCGUGAGGGAAAGGUGAAAAGCACCCCGGAAGGGGAGUGAAAUAGAACCUGAAACCGUGUGCUUACAAGUAGUCAGAGCCCGUUAAUGGGUGAUGGCGUGCCUUUUGUAGAAUGAACCGGCGAGUUACGAUUUGAUGCAAGGUUAAGCAGUAAAUGUGGAGCCGUAGCGAAAGCGAGUCUGAAUAGGGCGUUUAGUAUUUGGUCGUAGACCCGAAACCAGGUGAUCUACCCUUGGUCAGGUUGAAGUUCAGGUAACACUGAAUGGAGGACCGAACCGACUUACGUUGAAAAGUGAGCGGAUGAACUGAGGGUAGCGGAGAAAUUCCAAUCGAACCUGGAGAUAGCUGGUUCUCUCCGAAAUAGCUUUAGGGCUAGCCUCAAGUGAUGAUUAUUGGAGGUAGAGCACUGUUUGGACGAGGGGCCCCUCUCGGGUUACCGAAUUCAGACAAACUCCGAAUGCCAAUUAAUUUAACUUGGGAGUCAGAACAUGGGUGAUAAGGUCCGUGUUCGAAAGGGAAACAGCCCAGACCACCAGCUAAGGUCCCAAAAUAUAUGUUAAGUGGAAAAGGAUGUGGCGUUGCCCAGACAACUAGGAUGUUGGCUUAGAAGCAGCCAUCAUUUAAAGAGUGCGUAAUAGCUCACUAGUCGAGUGACACUGCGCCGAAAAUGUACCGGGGCUAAACAUAUUACCGAAGCUGUGGAUUGUCCUUUGGACAAUGGUAGGAGAGCGUUCUAAGGGCGUUGAAGCAUGAUCGUAAGGACAUGUGGAGCGCUUAGAAG